UAUGGCCAUACCAUGUUGAAAUAUUGGUUCUCAUACAAUCACUGAAGUUAAGCAACAUUGAGCCUGGUCAGUACCUAGAUGGGUGACUGCUUGGGAAUACCAGGUGCUAC